UACGUAGGUGGCGAGCGUUGUCCGGAUUUACUGGGCGUAAAGGGAGCGUAGGCGGACUUUUAAGUGAGAUGUGAAAUACCCGGGCUCAACUUGGGUGCUGCAUUUCAAACUGGAAGUCUAGGGUGCAGGAGAGGAGAAUGGAAUUCCUAGUGUAGCGGUAAAAUGCGUAGAGAUUAGGAAGAACACCAGUGGCGAAAGCGGCUUUCUGGACUGUUACUGACGCUGAGGUGUGAAAGCUAAGGGAGCGAACAGGAUUAGAUACCCUGGUAGUCCCU
rnacentral:rRNA from 1 species